rnacentral:sRNA from 1 species
AGCACGGGUAGCAAUACCUGUGUGAGAGUGGCGAACGGGUGAGUAACACGUAGGUGAUCUACCUCUGGGUGGGGGAUAGCCCGUGGAAACACGGGGUAAUACCGCAUGAGGCCUUGUGGGUAAAGCCAUGAGGUGAAAGGUGCAAUUGCACCGUCUGGGGAUGAGCCUGCGGUCCAUUAGGUAGUUGGCGGGGUAACGGCCCACCAAGGCUGGGACGGGUAGCUGGUCUGAGAGGAUGAUCAGCCACACUGGAACUGUUUCACGGUCCANAGACAUACGGGAGGCAGCUUUGGGAUCUUGCAGAAAACUCGAGCCAUC